rnacentral:rRNA from 1 species
UACGGAGGAUGCGAGCGUUAUCCGGAUUUAUUGGGUUUAAAGGGUGCGUAGGUUGUUUUUUAAGUCAGCGGUGAAAGUUUGUGGCUCAACCAUAAAAUUGCCGUUGAAACUGGAAGACUUGAGUGUGUUUGAGGUAGGCGGAAUGCGUGGUGUAGCGGUGAAAUGCAUAGAUAUCACGCAGAACUCCGAUUGCGAAGGCAGCAUACCGGCGCCCGACUGACGCUGAAGCACGAAAGCGUGGGGAGCAAACAGG